UUCUUGGUCUUUGUUUAUCUAUGGACUAAUUACUGGGUUAUGUGGCAGAUCAAAUCGGCCUGACACCUGAAGAAGUUAUCUCAAAAAUAAUGGCUAAUCCUGAUAUUGCCAUGGCAUUCCAGAACCCCAGAGUUCAACAAGCGAUUAUGGAUGUUUCGCAAAACCCCAUGAAUAUUGUUAAAUAUCAAAACGACCAGGAGGUAAUGGAUGUGUUCAACAAGAUACAACAACUCUUCCCAGGAACAACGGGCCCAUCUGGAUUUUGAUUAGUUCUGCACGAUAAUCUGUACGCUGCUUUCUUUGGUCCAUCUAGAAUAUGCGUUUUGCAUGCUUGGCGCGGAUAACAGUACUAAAAUUCCUCAUAUGUGAUCGACAAUAAAAGAAGACGCGAAACUAUUUUAGGAUGUGUUGGUCUGUGGCCAGGACUAGAUCGUACAAAGUUUUGGUAAAUUUGUGAGUUAGUGUUUCAUGUUAUCGAGUUAUGAAUAUGUAGAUGCUGACAGAUGAUCUUGUGAUUUCACGUCAUGAAGAUGGAGUGAUAAUAGUGCACUAGUUAAUCAAAAGCAUUAAAUUUAUUUUUCUGAAAAUUUGUACAGAAUAUUUCUGCAUGAUGGUGUUAAUCAAUAUCAUUACAAACAGUUAGGAUGAUUUAUAAUGUUUUUAUUUAUUAAGUGUAAUGAGCAUCACUCAUUAAAGCUUGUUGUAUUAAUCUUUAUUUUAGCUAUGAUUGUUGCUUAUGAAGUCGUACUGGACUACUGAGUGCUAUGUCCAGAAGUUCCAUAUGUGAGUGCACAAGUUUGUAAUACAGUAGUAUUAUAGUUUUACUGAUGUGAUAAAAUUAUGAAAUCUAUAACUGUAUUAGAUUAUUUUUUAUGUCAAUAUUAAUAUAUGUGAUGAUAUUUUUAUAA